AUUUCUCUUUUCCUCUCCACCAUAGUCCAUACACCCAUAUCACUAAACUCCAUAGAUGCAUACAGAGAGGGAGAGAAUAAUGAAAAAAAAGUGAUGAAGAUAGAGAGAGAAAGGUGAUCGGAAUAGGGGAAGGGUGCGAGGUUUGAGUUUUCGCCAAGCGUUCUCCGGUGAAAACUUUCACCGGAAUCGAUUUGGUUUCAUCGCCCAGCUGACCAGUGCGAGAAGACCCCAAAUUUCUUCAUUUUUUUUCUUCUGUUUUUCUUUCUAUAAUUUCUGAGUUUGGAUUUGGCUGAAAACACCAGAAAUUCUACAGAAAACAUGAACCAGUCGUGGACUUUUUGUUGAAAUCAGCCCUUGGUUCGAAUCGAUCUUGUGAUAGUUGUUGGCAUACGGGUUGGUUAGUUUUGUUGCGUUUCUUGGUUCGGAUUCAACAGUGUCUUUCCUAGAAUUUGGGUACUUUUGGGGCUCAGUGGGAUUAUCGUGACCAGUUUUCGAUUGUCGUUUCACUAUUCGAGUUGGAUUUGUCGAUCUUGAGGUUUAAUUCGAAAUUCCAAGUUCGAAUUUUCUUUAUUAUCAACAAAAGUCGAUAUCAAAAGGUCCAUCUCUUUAACCCGCUUUCUUCUCCAUUUUUGAUUGGUUACAUUGACUAUGAUUAUGUGUGGUGUGAUUAGGAUAGUUUGAUUUCUUUGAUAUUGUUUUGUUGUUUGAAUUGGUUACUAAAAAGUGAGUAUGGAUUGUUGAAAUGUUGAUUGCUAAUAGUAAAAAAUUGGUAUUAGAGGGAUUUAGGGGGGGUGAGAAUUGAAAAUUGACAAAAAGGAUAGAUUCGGUUUAAUUUUGAUUUAUUGUUGAUAUGAAACGUGAUAUUAUUAUGACAUGUUAAAAUGGAUAGGCCAAUGUAGGUUCGGGUAGGCAAAUUUAGGAUUAAGGUUUGUUUGGUCUAAUGUUGGAAAUUUCGUGGAUUAUUUGAAAUUUUGUUGAAUUAGUUUGAUUUUCUCGCACUAAAAAUGUAUUCAUUUGGUCGGGGAAUGCCUCAAGGAAUUUGUAUUAAUUUAUUCGGGAAAUGCCCCGAAGUAUCUUGUACUUGAAGGAUGUUCGUGAUGAAGGCCCGAUGCAUCAGGUAAAGCAUUGUAGAGGCCCGAGGCAUCAGGUAAAGCAUUGUAGAGUAUUUUAGGAUUAGUGUAGGUUUACUUUUCAGUACCUUUUUAUUUUGGACUGUAUAAUUGGACUGGACACUAUAUUUUGGAUUUGUUUUGUUUGUGGUUGAUUGUUUUAUUUGUUUUCGUGUGGUUUAUACAUUCGUGAUAUCAAAUUAGUCGAUACGCUCCACCAAGAUACCGUGGUCGAACCACGGGAUCGAGGGGUGCCUAACACCUUUCCCUCGGUCAGCAAAAUUCCUUAGCCGAAAUCUUUAUUCACAAACCAGUUUAAAAGAG
rnacentral:lncRNA from 1 species